AUUGAACGCUGGCGGCAGGCCUAACACAUGCAAGUCGAGCGGAUGAGAGGAGCUUGCUCUUUGAUUCAGCGGCGGACGGGUGAGUAAUGCCUAGGAAUCUGCCUGGUAGUGGGGGACAACGUUUCGAAAGGAACGCUAAUACCGCAUACGUCCUACGGGAGAAAGUGGGGGAUCUUCGGACCUCACGCUAUCAGAUGAGCCUAGGUCGGAUUAGCUAGUUGGUGAGGUAAUGGCUCACCAAGGCGACGAUCCGUAACUGGUCUGAGAGGAUGAUCAGUCACACUGGAACUGAGACACGGUCCAGACUCCUACGGGAGGCAGCAGUGGGGAAUAUUGGACAAUGGGCGCAAGCCUGAUCCAGCCAUGCCGCGUGUGUGAAGAAGGUCUUCGGAUUGUAAAGCACUUUAAGUUGGGAGGAAGGGCAGUCAAAGAAUACGUUGCUGUUUUGACGUUACCGACAGAAUAAGCACCGGCUAACUCUGUGCCAGCAGCCGCAGUAAUAC
rnacentral:rRNA from 1 species